rnacentral:lncRNA from 1 species
GUCAUAACAAGCAGAAGGGAUUGGAGGAAACAGGCUGAAGACAGAUGCUGCAGUGGGAGUGUGGAGAGAUGUGAAGGCAACAGCAGGAAUAAUGAUAAGAUUGGUUGUGAGGUACUGUAUAGAUGAGAUGGAUAGGACCAGAGAUGCACCUGAGAGCAGGAGGAAAAGGAGAGGAAAAUGGUCAUGUGGGUGCCAGAUAGUACUGCAUAACCUCUCCUUUUGAAUUUGAGGUACCUGCGUCUGCCAAGAGUAGCUUUUCCAUUUCACAACCAUCACACUUUCCUGUGAGUUCAGAGUUAAUGAAGACAUGUGGAUGCAAAAGGAAAACUUGCAGAGCAAAGUCAUUGCCAAACAGCUCCCGUUGCCUUCUGCUGUGAGUAAAAGCUUCCCGAAGUCCUCACUAAGAGCCAAGCAAGAUGCCAGUGCCAUGCUCCCUGUACAGGCUGCAGAACCACAAGUCAAAUAAAUCUCUUUUCCUUACAGA